rnacentral:lncRNA from 1 species
CAGAAGUGAUGGCUGAGUUGGUUGUGAGGCAUAAAGAAUCUAAGGUACUAAGUAUAUUCCUAUCUGAGAUCAGAUUAUUUGUUCAAUAUGUUGAUGAUAUAAGUAUAAUUUGGAGGCACAACGAGGAUGUCCAUCAGCUUGUAGAUAUGUUAAUGGAUGAUACACUAGAGCUUACCCUGAGAAUAAAACAGAAUAGUACUACAGCCUUCCAUUUUUUAGAUGUGCAUCUUGGAUCUUGAAAUCAAAUGACAAUGUAAAGUUAAAAAAAAAAAAGAACAGAUAGCAAGACAAAUACUUCUAACCUGAUGCCAAU